GCCUGUGUGAUGCCCGUCUCUCAUUUCUUACCUGUGCCCCCUGCCACAGCGUGCGCGUCUGUGUAUCUGUGCGGCCGCCCUCCUCUCCCCUCUCACACGUCCCUUCAGCUUCGUUUCACCUCCUGUCUCUCCAAGCAAGUGCGCACACGCAAAGCAUCUCUCCCUCCUUCGUUCUUCUCCUCAAUACGUCCUUCCCCCGACGGCACGCCGUCGGGGGAAGGCAAGCAGUUGGCUGGAGACGCAGUUCUGCGCACCUAGACACAGCACGUACAUCGACGCGUCCACCGCAGGCGAAGAAGUGAGGAGAAUCGACGUCGCCGCCGGGGCCACAAAAGCAAGUAGGGACGAAAAGAAGAUCCAGCAAAGCGUUGCGAGGGAAGCGUCAUUUGGUGUCCGUGUGCAUUUGUGUAUGCAGCGUCCGCUCUCGCUCUCUUUCGGCUCUUUCUUUCUCUCAUCGCCUCCUCUGCCUCGAUCGCCCCCAUCGAUCUCUCUUUGGGGGGCGCUUGUGGCGUGUCUGCACCCAUCCUUGCUCUUCCCUGUCUCGCGCUGUCACCUCAUUCCGCUCCUUCUACGGAGCACAGAGACGCAGAGGCGCACAGUCAAACGUAGCCCUACUCAUCCAUAAACACCUCUACACAUCUCCCUGCCCUCGCUGAUCUACGCAGGCCCUGUGGACCCUGUGAACCGGCACCGUCGUUGGCUCUCGCUCUCUUCUUUCCGCCCGCUCUGCUGAAGGGCGAAGCCGCUUCUGUGUGUGCGGCUCGGUUCUUUGACUUGAUGCGCUUCAUACUCUGAAAUCCUUUUGUUUCUGUUUUUGAAUCUUGCAUGGACAUGCUUCCUUUUCGUAGUCUUGUCUCUGCUGGCGCUGCUGCUGCUGCUGUUGGCUCUGUGCCCGUGUGUGCGGCGCGCACCCUCUCUCUCUGCGACGCCUACCCGCAACACCUUCGCCCUGUCUCGAGCUUUCUCUGCGACCUCCGCACUCAUCUGCACGGUGGCACGAAGAAGACGGGUGUAGAGAAAGCUGAUUUUUGUACACCGGAAGCCCCCCCCCCCUCCUCGACCCAAAACUGCGCGCUGUGUGCUCUGCGAGAGGGAGGAGGGCAGCGACGAUCGGACAGCCUUUUUGGACCUGCUUUGCGCUCUUCUCGAAUCCCUUGCAGCUCCCUCUCUACCACCUCCCGUUUUCUCCGCCGUCCGCCAAUUUCGCAGCUGAGGACGCGUCGACAGCCGCCAAGAAAAGAGAGCCACCACCGUGUUGUCGAGUACUCCUAGAUCGCUUGUUCACGUCUUCGUAUUCCGAAGCGCACGCGCACACAGUCACACACAUACACACAUACAUAUCCACACUGGAACGCAAAGGCAGCGUAGGGGAGACGGGAUCAGUCGCCGAACGACGCUCUUUAAAUAUAUAUAUAUAUAUAUUUUCGUGCAGUUUGAGUGAUUGAAUCUCCUAUCAUGCCCCGCUUUCGAGGCCAUUCUCCGCACUAGUUUUUCUCAUUUUAUUUCCAGCCAUCCCCUCCCCUCAGGCCGCACUGCCGGCAGAAAGGAAGACAUCUCGCUUGGUUUGGCCAGUGUGACAGACACAAUCUCGCCUUCCUCUCGUU
rnacentral:misc_RNA from 1 species